ACUCAGUUGGUAGAGUACAAAGCUCUUAACCUUGUGGACGUGGGUUCAAGCCCCGU
rfam:Triticum aestivum genome assembly, contig: Triticum_aestivum_CS42_TGACv1_scaffold_080328_1DS